UGUAAAUCAAAUGUCUGUGUUUUGUAAAUCUAAUGUCUACAUGUGCAUUGCAUUUCUUUGGUUCACUUUCAAGAGCUGACAAUAUUAUGAACAAACUUGUGAAAGGGGGGUUACAAAUUUAAACAUCGCUCUUUUAUCUCCCUUAUGUUAUUUUAACCAGCAGCCAUUGAAGUUAUACAAUCACACACACACACAUAUACACAUACAUGCGUUAUAUUUAAAAUCUAAAUACAUUCUCAGAACUGAUUUGAAAAAAUAAAUUGAAAAAUGACAUGCAAGGGACAAAACUAGAGUAAAGACUCAGUAAAGUAAAAAUGUAUCAUGUUCAUCUCCCUUUAUCAGCUUAAAGUGCAUUCUUUUAUAACACCAACAUGUCUCGCAAAAAGCCUUUGACAUGUACAAGUGCGAGAAUUUUUUUUUUCAAUUCUAUUUCUGUCUGAUUUGGAAUUUAUAGACAUGCACUGAUACAUAUCCCCAUUUCAUUUUUAUGCAAAAGCAUUUUCGUUUGAGUUGUAAUGCACACCUCAUUGUGUCCUGGAAAACUCAUGUAAUGUUGAAAAUGCUAUAAUCUAUAAUAUGUACACUAAUCCAUAUGUAAUUUACAGUAG